CGGGUGAGUAACGCGUGGGUAACCUGCCUUACACAGGGGGAUAACACUUAGAAAUAGGUGCUAAUACCGCAUAAGCGCACAGCUUCGCAUGAAGUGGUGUGAAAAACUCUGGUGGUAUACGAUGGUUCCGCGUCUGAUUAGCUUGUUGGUGGGGUAAUGGCUCACCAAGGCGACGAUCAGUAGCCGGCCUGAGAGGGUGAACGGCCACAUUGGGACUGAGACACGGCCCAAACUCCUACGGAAGGCAGCAG
rnacentral:rRNA from 1 species